UACGAAGGGGGCUAGCGUUGCUCGGAAUCACUGGGCGUAAAGCGCACGUAGGCGGCUCUGUAAGUCAGAGGUGAAAUCCUGGAGCUCAACUCCAGAACUGCCUUUGAUACUGGAGAGCUUGAGUCCGGGAGAGGUGAGUGGAACUGCGAGUGUAGAGGUGAAAUUCGUAGAUAUUCGCAAGAACACCAGUGGCGAAGGCGGCUCACUGGCCCGGUACUGACGCUGAGGUGCGAAAGCGUGGGGAGCAAACAGG
rnacentral:rRNA from 1 species